rnacentral:rRNA from 1 species
AACGAGCGCUGGCGGCAGGCCUAACACAUGCAAGUCGAGCGAGACCUUCGGGUCUAGCGGCGGACGGGUGAGUAACGCGAGGGAAUAUGCCCUUUGGUACGGAAUAGCCUCGGGAAACUGAGAGUAAUACCGUAUGUGCCCUUCGGGGGAAAGAUUUAUCGCCAAAGGAUUAGCCCGCGUUGGAUUAGGUAGUUGGUGGGGUAAUGGCCUACCAAGCCUACGAUCCAUAGCUGGUUUGAGAGGAUGAUCAGCCACACUGGGACUGAGACACGGCCCAGACUCCUACGGGAGGCAGCAGUGGGGAAUCUUAGACAAGGGGGGCAACCCUGAUCUAGCCAUGCCGCGUGAGUGAUGAAGGCCUUAGGGUUGUAAAGCGCUUUCAGCUGGGAAGAUAAUGACGGUACCAGCAGAAGAAGCCCCGGCUAACUCCGUGCCAGCAGCCGCCGUAA